rnacentral:misc_RNA from 1 species
GGUCUUCCAACUUCAAACUUCGAUUAAGCAAGCUUCGGCUAUGGAUGUUGUUACUCAAAGAAACUCUUCUUCUUCCGUUUCCAUGUUGAAUCCUAACGCUCCCUUGUUCGUUCCGAUGGCGUACAGGACGGUGGAGGAUUUCUCCGACCAGUGGUGGGAUCUUAUCCAGUCGUCGCCGUGGUUUCGUGAGUACUGGCUUCAAGAACGCUUUCAAGAUCCUCAAAAUGAUCUUUCGUUCGCAGAAAAUGAAGAAUUUGUCCUUCCGGAUCUUGAGAAUUUCUUCGACGACUUCACUCGUCAACAGGAAGAGGAAGAAUUGGACUUCUCGAAGGAUUUGGUUCCAAUGGGAGCUUUCAAAUGGCAGAAGGCUCGGUCUGGAGCGGAGGUUCCUAAGUAUGCUCAAAAGGCUCCCAAGAUCGUGAACGUGAAAGUGAGUCCGAGGACGAUUCACCAGCCGAGAUGAACUCGACGCGGUAUUUCCAACUCAUCGAGUAUGUUUCUUCAUCAGAACUCAGGAACCAGUUUGAAUUGUUGUUGAUCUAGGUUUUCCAUUUCGUUUAUGUACAGAGUCUAGAACUUGAUCUGUUACAAAUUAACUCCGAUGGUCUGUGUUUAGUUCAUGUAAAUUUGUACCAAGUCUUACUUUCGAUUAUGAUAGAAUAAAGAGUUCCAAA